rnacentral:rRNA from 1 species
GAUGAACGCUGGCGGCGUGCCUAAUACAUGCAAGUCGAGCGAACGGACGAGAAGCUUGCUUCUCUGCUGUUAGCGGCGGACGGGUGAGUAACACGUGGAUAACCUACCUAUAAGACUGGGAUAACUUCGGGAAACCGUAGCUAAUACCGGAUAAUAUUUUGAACCGCAUGGUUCAAAAGUGAAAGACGGUCUUGCUGUCACUUAUAGAUGGAUCCGCGCUGCAUUAGCUAGUUGGUAAGGUAACGGCUUACCAAGGCAACGAUGCAUAGCCGACCUGAGAGGGUGAUCGGCCACACUGGAACUGAGACACGGUCCAGACUCCUACGGGAGGCAGCAGUAGGGAAUCUUGCGCAAUGGGCGAAAGCCUGACGGAGCAACGCCGCGUGAGUGAUGAAGGUCUUCGGAUCGUAAAACUCUGUUAUUAGGGAAGAACAUAUGUGUAAGUAACUGUGCACAUCUUGACGGUACCUAAUCAGAAAGCCACGGCUAACUACGUG